rnacentral:lncRNA from 1 species
AUAUUCUAUAGAAUAUGCUGUACACAAUAUUCUAUAGAAUAUAUGUUAUACAGAAUGAGACCUUUAUGCAAUUUAAAAUAUAACAUUUUUACUACACUAUUCAUUGGUCGAGAAUUAUAUUCGCAUUUUUUGUAAGGUUCUCUCGACGACAUACUUUUAAAGUCUUAAAGUUAAAAUUCUCAGCAGAAAUCAUUCGUUUUGUAAAGACAAUUCACGAAUAUUUCACACAUAUGACAUAUCUCAUAUGAGUCAUAUCUGUUUCAUAAUAUGCCCGUUCGCAGGUUAGAUGGCGGGCGUUUUGCCAAAACAAGACCGCAAGGUUAUGCGGGACUUGUUUAACCGCCACGCAUUAUUUUCAAAUUUUGAGCGCGUAUUUGUCUGUAGUUUGUCAUCCGUUGAUUCAACGUUUUAUAACUGAUACUGGUAGAAUUUAGUGCGUUUUUCUUUCGUAUUUUAACAUAAAAUACGCAUUCUUUGAAUUUGUCAAAGAGGAAUCAUAGGAGGGUGGUGAAACGCGCUUUAGUAUGCGAGAAGAAUCAGAAGAUAUGGAUAAUUUUGUAAAUGCGUGAAAGGUGACUAGGAUCGUGAGAAAGAAAGGCCAUGGCAAUGAGAAAUUUCUAAAGUUAAAAAAAUAAUCAAAAGUUCAUUGACCCAUCUACAACAACAUGUGUAUCUAAAGUAUUGGAAUUCAGUGAUUUCCUUUUGUCCAAGCAUCACACUAACCAAAGGUCAAAAUGGAGCUCUAUUAAAGCAAUAUUAAAUGUGAAAGGUUUUGUUUAUGCAGUGCCGUGGAUGCAAGAACAACUUUGCUCUCAUUCCGUCACUGGAAAGGCUUCAAAUGCGUAGCUUAAUUCAAAGAAAAGGAUGCAAAACCAGAGCCAGAGAAAGUUAAGAGUAUAUAUGCUGUGUCUAAAGUAUAGUGCAAAAAGGUUUGAGGGAAAAGAGGCAGACAUAUGACAAGUUAUGGCACCAAAGAUUAAUAAUAUUGUGCAAGUUGAGAAAACCAAGUUGAAAGCAUCUGGACAUCAGUAACUAUAUGACAUUCCAUUUUCUACUAUUUACAUGUUCUGUACAUGUAAAUAUAUUUAGUAUAAUAGCCUAGUUAUAUUUUUGCUAUUUUCUUGCACAAUCAUUUUAUUUGGUGGGAAAACUGCAGUAUGGUAAUAAUUUUAUCUAGAAAAUAUUGAAUAAAUUUAUACAUUCAUAAAAAAACCAAGCUAAAAUAUUUCAA